rnacentral:misc_RNA from 1 species
CAGGACUCGCAAGACUCCCGUAACCAUCGUGAACCUACAAACCGUUGCCUCGGCGGGUGCACCGCGGGCGCUGCUCUUCCUCGGGGGGGGGCGGCCGCCCGGGGCGCAUCCCAAGCCCGCCGGCGGCCCACCAACUCUUUGUUUCCAUACCCCUGAGAAUCUCCGAGUACAAAACACAAACGAAUCA